rnacentral:rRNA from 1 species
CGUCCUACGGGGGGCAGCAGUGGGGAAUAUUGGGCAAUGGGCGCAAGCCUGACCCAGCAACGCCGCGUGAAGGAAGAAGGCUUUCGGGUUGUAAACUUCUUUUAUUCGGGACGAAGAAAGUGACGGUACCGAAUGAAUAAGCCACGGCUAACUACGUGCCAGCAGCCGCGGUAAUACGUAGGUGGCAAGCGUUAUCCGGAUUUAUUGGGUGUAAAGGGCGUGUAGGCGGGAAUGCAAGUCAGAUGUGAAAACUCAGGGCUCAACCCUGAGCCUGCCUUUGAAACUGUAUUUCUU